CCUACGGGAGGCAGCAGUGAGGAAUAUUGGUCAAUGGACGAGAGUCUGAACCAGCCAAGUAGCGUGAAGGAUGACUGCCCUAUGGGUUGUAAACUUCUUUUAUAAAGGAAUAAAACGAGGCACGUGUGCCUUUUUGCAUGUACUUUAUGAAUAAGGAUAGGCUAACUCCGUGCCAGCAGCCGCGGUAAUACGGAGGAUCCGAGCGUUAUCCGGAUUUAUUGGGUUUAAAGGGAGCGUAGAUGGGUUGUUAAGUCAGUUGUGAAAGUUUGCGGCUCAACCGGAAAAUUGCAAGUGAUACUGGAAGUCUUGAGUACGGUUGAGGUAGGCGGAAUUCGUGGUGUAGCGGUGAAAUGCUUAGAUAUCACGAAGAACCCCGAUUGCGAAGGCAGCUUACUAAACUGUGACUGACAUUGAUGCUCGAAAGUGUGGGUAUCAAACAGGAUUAGAUACCCGAGUAGUC
rnacentral:rRNA from 1 species